GCGCGAGAUGGUUCGUUCGUUGCGGCCGGCCUCCUCUCUCCCUGCUCAUGUACCCAACCAAAUGCUCAUUGUCCUCACACUGCAUGUGUAUUCAGUCGACUCCCAGCAGGAAAUCGACAACACCCUCAAGAUAGCUGAGGAGCAAGCGGAAAAUAAGGACUAUUUAAAAGAUGCGGACGGGGCUUAGAGAAAGCAACAGGGAUGAGUGCUCCAGCCUAGGGAUCCUAACAGUGGAGCUAUCACUAUUCUUACCGUUGAAGGCGAAGGAGAGGGGGAUCUAACUGAGAUCCACGGAGACAGAGACAGAGACACCUGUCCAGGGAAGGAAGACCUCUUCAUGGGAGUUGUGUACUUUGGUUGAGGGAUGCAACCCCCCUAUGACAACCUCGAAGAGAGGGAGCCAAUGAAAUAAAUACCACAACUUCAUGCUCCUCCAUCCCUCUGAUCUCUUCUCAGUUUCCCUCAUUUGCUGAAUCCAACCAGAGGUCAGAGGGCAAGGCAGCCUUUUGAUGCAUUCCUCACAGGCCGAGCUCCCAGGACACAGAACAAAUUGGAGAGGAUAGAGAAAGGAUCUCAAAAGGCAAAGGGAACUGGGCACAAUGGUACACACCUGUAGUUCCAGCACUUUGAGAGGGAGAGGUGGGAGGAUCACUAGAGACAAGAAGUUUGAAACCAACCUGGGCAACAUAGCAAGACCCUGUCUCUACCAAAAAAUGUAAAAAUUAGCUGGGCAUGGUGGUACAUGCCUGUAGUCCUAGCUACUAGGAACACUGAGACACGAGGAUAACUUGAGCACAGGAGUUUGAGGCUUACAGUAAGCUAUGAUUGCACCACUGCACCACAGUCUGUAUGACAGAGCGAGACCCUGUCUCAAAAUAAAUGAGAGAUAAAUGGGGGAUUUUCAGCACAAAUUCCAAAUAAAGUUCACUGUUCACUUGGAUAGUGGACAGAAAUAUUCAGUAGAGACGAGGUUUCACCAUUUUGCCCAGACUGGUCUCGAACUCCUGAGCUCAGGCAAUCCACCCGCCUCGGCCUUCCAAAGUGCUAGGAUUACAGGCGUGAGCCACUGCGCUGCAAAGCCAUUCCUGACCAUCCAGCCUAAGGAAUGCCACCAGUACUUUGUAUUACAUUGAUUGAAACCAGCUCUUCCAGAUUUGAGAGUUCACAGACAGUCAAGAUUUCAAGAGCUACAGAAACCUUUGAGUGUCAGGCUGAAAGAAGAAUGACAGACUUGAGGCCAGGACAGAUGAGAACAUUUCUUUCUUAAGACAGUCACCAUGAAAGAAGGCUGACUACCCUGAGGCCACUUGUUAUGAGAAGCCCAAGUCACAUGGAGAGGCCAUGAGAAGGCACUAUAGCUGACAGUCCCAGGAAAGCCCCCAGCCAAUCACUGCAGGAAAGACUCCAAGAAGACAUGCUCAACUUAGCCUAGUUAUCACACUAAACUAUGAGAGAUCCCCUUCUCCAGCAUCUCCAGACUGACAGAAAAUAACAGCAAAUAAUGGAAAUCCCUUAUAUGUGGAAAUAUGUUUUCAUCGUGGCUUGGCCCCAAGUGUGUGAAAAAA